rnacentral:rRNA from 1 species
CCCUUAGAUGUUCUGGGCUGCACGCGUGCUACAAUGGCGCUUGCAACAAGUCUUGCCAACCCGAUAGGGUGAGCGGAUCUUUGAAGAGGCGUCGUGAUCGGGACAGUUGAUUGCAAUUAUUCGACUCGAACGAGGAAUUCCUUGUAAUCGCGAUUCAUCAUAUCGCGCUGAAUACGUCCCUGCCCUUUGUACACACCGCCCGUCGCUCCUACCGAUUGAGCGAUCCGGUGAAUGUCUUGGACUGGCGUCAGAAGCGGUCCGCUCCUGACACUACGAAAUUUUGUAAACCUUAUCGCUUAGAGGAAGGAAAAGUCGUAACA